rnacentral:RNase_P_RNA from 1 species
GAUCGCGGGACGUGAGAACGUCAUGAGGAAAGUCCGAGCAUCACAGAGCAGGGUAGCUGAUAACGUCAGCCGAGGGCGACCUUAGGGCAAGUGCAACAGAGAUAUACCGCAGUCUUGGACUGUAAGGGUGGAAAGGCGAGGCAAGAGCUCACCGGAGUAUACGAGAGUAUACUGCCAUGUAAACCCUAUCCGAUGCAACGCCGAUUGGUGGCGGGGAUAACGCGUCUGCUCGGCGCGCCCGCUUAUAGGCGGCUUGACCGCGUUGGCGACAGCGCGGCUAGAUAGAUGAUCAUACACGACAGAACUCGGCUUAUCGAUGGAG